GUUUGAUUAGCUCAGUUGGGAGAGCGUUGUAUCCCAAAGGACGAAGGGUCAGGAGUUCCAAUCUUCUAUUGAAUG